rnacentral:rRNA from 1 species
UACAGAGGGGGCAAGCGUUGUCCGGAAUUACUGGGCGUAAAGGGCGCGUAGGCGGCUUGUUAAGUCGAACGUGAAAUCCCUGGGCUCAACCCAGGAACUGCGUCCGAUACUGGCAGGCUUGAAUCCGGGAGAGGGAUGCGGAAUUCCAGGUGUAGCGGUGAAAUGCGUAGAUAUCAGGAGGAACACCGGUGGCGAAGGCGGUUCUCUGGGCAUGUCCUGACGCUGAGGAGCGAAAGUGUGGGUAGCAAACAGG